ACUUGGUGGCUCAGAUGGUAAUGAAUCUGCCUGCAAUGCAGGAGACCUGGGUUCGAUCCCUGGAUCAGGAA
rnacentral:tRNA from 1 species